rnacentral:rRNA from 1 species
UACAGAGGUCUCAAGCGUUGUUCGGAUUCAUUGGGCGUAAAGGGCGCGUAGGCGGCCGUGUAAGUCACUUGUGAAAUCCCGGGGCUCAACUCCGGGGCUGCAGGUGAGACUGCAUGGCUAGAGCUUGGUAGAGGCGAGUGGAAUUCCCGGUGUAGCGGUGGAAUGCGUAGAUAUCGGGAAGAACACCGGUGGCGAAGGCGGCUCGCUGGGCCAAUGCUGACGCUGAGGCGCGAAAGCGUGGGGAGCAAACAGG